UGCCCUUCCCCCAUUUCGGGGUUGUAUACUCCACUCACUCUUUCUCAAGGUGAACACACAGUUAGCUUUCAUCGCUUUUCAUCGUUUCUCAUUAUUUUUGUAUCUCGUGUGCAUCACACAAUCGAAGGUUUCUCAAGGGAGGUAUGGAUUAUUAUCCAUCACGAGCACUGACCUUGCUCUGAUACCAACUGUCACGGGUCCACUUCCUAGCUC
rnacentral:misc_RNA from 1 species